rnacentral:rRNA from 1 species
UAGGGAAUCUUCCGCAAUGGGCGAAAGCCUGACGGAGCAACGCCGCGUGAGUGAUGAAGGUCUUCGGAUCGUAAAACUCUGUUAUUAGGGAAGAACAAAUGUGUAAGUAACUAUGCACGUCUUGACGGUACCUAAUCAGAAAGCCACGGCUAACUACGUGCCAGCAGCCGCGGUAAUACGUAGGUGGCAAGCGUUAUCCGGAAUUAUUGGGCGUAAAGCGCGCGUAGGCGGUUUUUUAAGUCUGAUGUGAAAGCCCACGGCUCAACCGUGGAGGGUCAUUGGAAACUGGAAAACUUGAGUGCAGAAGAGGAAAGGGGAAUUCCAUGUGUAGCGGUGAAAUGCGCAGAGAUAUGGAGGAACACCAGUGGCGAAGGCGACUUUCUGGUCUGUAACUGACGCUGAUGUGCGAAAGCGUGGGGAUCAAACAGG